GAUGAACGCUGGCGGCGUGCCUAAUACAUGCAAGUCGAGCGAACGGACGAGAAGCUUGCUUUUCUGAUGUUAGCGGCGGACGGGUGAGUAACACGUGGAUAACCUACCUAUAAGACUGGGAUAACUUCGGGAAACCGGAGCUAAUACCGGAUAAUAUUUUGAACCGCAUGGUUCAAAAGUGAAAGACGGUCUUGCUGUCACUUAUAGAUGGAUCCGCGCUGCAUUAGCUAGUUGGUAAGGUAACGGCUUACGAAGGCAACGAUGCAUAGCCGACCUGAGAGGGUGAUCGGCCACACUGGAACUGAGACACGGUCCAGACUCCUACGGGAGGCAGCAGUAGGGAAUCUUCCGCAAUGGGCGAAAGCCUGACGGAGCAACGCCGCGUGAGUGAUGAAGGUCUUCGGAUCGUAAAACUCUGUUAUUAGGGAAGAACAUAUGUGUAAGUAACUGUGCACAUCUUGACGGUACCUAAUCAGAAAGCCACGGCUAACUACGUG
rnacentral:rRNA from 1 species